UGGUGGAGUGAUUUGUCUGGUUAAUUCCGUUAACGAACGAGACCUCAGCUUGUUAACUAGUGCGGCGAAGCCUUGCUUCGCCGAGACUUCUUAGAGGGACUGUGAGCGUUUAGCUCAUGGAGGUUUGAGGCAAUAACA
rnacentral:rRNA from 1 species